GACGAACCGUGCAAACGUUGUUCGGAAUCACUGGGCUUAAAGGGCGCGUAGGCGGGGUCGUAAGUCUGUGGUGAAAUCCGUCGGCUCAACCGGCGAAUGGCCGUGGAUACUGCGACCCUCGAGGGGUGUAGGGGCAUGCGGAACUCAGGGUGGAGCGGUGAAAUGCGUAGAGAUCCUGAGGAACGCCGGUGGCGAAAGCGGCGUGCUGGACACCUUCUGACGCUGAGGCGCGAAAGCCAGGGGAGCAAACGGG
rnacentral:rRNA from 1 species